UUCUUCCUUAGUUUCUUGAGAUUAUCAUCCGCUGAGGGUGGAAGGGGAGUGAGCAGACACACUCAGGAGGUGUCUUGAGAUUAUCAUCCGCUGAGGGUGGAGCUGAGGGUGGAAGGGGAGUGAGCAGACACUCGGGAGGUGUCUUGAGAUUAUCAUCCGCUGAGGGUGGAAGGGGAUAGAGCAGGCACUCGGCAGGUGUCUUGAGAUUAUCAUCCGCUGAGGGUGGAAGGGGAUAGAGCACACACUCGGAAGGUGUCUUGAGAUUAUCAUCCGCUGAGGGUGGAAGGGGAUAGAGCAGGCACUCGGCAGGUGUCUUGAGAUUAUCAUCCGCUGAGGGUGGAAGGGGAUAGAGCACACACUCGGAAGGUGUCUUGAGGCUCAGGGAGUUAUCAAUUAUAGAAUGUUGUUGAGUUGGAGGA
rnacentral:lncRNA from 1 species